UCGUAUACAGAAAGCUUGAUUUCAUACAAGUGCGUCAACAGACGGCGCCGCCGUGUAAUCUGAUGGAUAUUUGUUACCACAUAACGGUCAACGUAGAUCAGCGAAAGUUUGGUGGCGUUUGAGUGCGGGUUAUUGAGGAGUGUACGUGACCGGUUUCACACGUCAGCAAAGAGGAUAUGCUUCCAGCUUUACAAUAGGCGGUUGGAAAAUGUUUACACACAUGUUUGAACGAAACUAUUAUUUGAGAGAGAAAAUCAAGGGGUAUCGAAUAAGAUCCAUGUGCAGUAUGGCUCAAAAUUAGGCGAUGGCAAUUUCGAGAUUCAAAUAAUUGAAAAAACAAACAGACAAAUGAUGUUAUGUUUUUUCUCACUUUAACUUCCUUCCUUCUUUUUAUUUUCAAACGGCUAUAAAUUUUUCAGACGUUAAUAUUUUUUUUUAAAUUACAUCGUAUUAACGAACAUUUUACUGUCUUUAAUUUCAGUAGUUUAUUGCUAUAUUUUUCUCUAAAAAAAUUAAAUGAUUUUGAAUACUCAUUACAUGAUUUUAAAUGUCCAGCGUAUGACUACGUGAUUUUGGAUACCCAGCAUAUGACUACGUAAUUACGUGAUUUUGAAUACCCAUUACAUGAUUUCAUUAUUGUAUUUUAUGUGAACCCCACUAAGUGAUUACGUAAUUACGUAACAAUAGUUGGCUAUGUAUUAUUACGUGGCUACGUGAUUUUGAAUACACAUUUCGUGAUUAUGUGGUUUCAUUAUAGUAUUUUAUGUAAAACCACAUUGAAUGAUUACGUAAUUACGUAAAACCAAAACAUGUAAUAUCUAAUAUUUCAUGUCUAAUCAUAUUAAAUGUAUAAUCAAGUAAUAGAUUUAUAUUGAAUGUGUUAUCACGUAAUGUUUUAUGUUGAAUGUGUAAUCAAGUAAUAGUUUAUGUUGAAUGUGUGACCACGUAACGGGUAUUCAAAAUCACGUAGUCAUAUGCUAGGCAUUCAAAAUCACGUAAUCACAUAAUGGACUAAUGAGUAUUCAAAAUCCUGUAAAUUUUUUAAAGAAAACUAUAGUAAUAGGCUGGUCGAAUUAAAGAGAAUGAAAUGCUUAUUAAUACGGUGUAUUUUUUUUUAAAUAUUAAUGUAUGAAAACGUUAUAGCCGUUUGAAAAUCAAGAGAGAAGUUGUUUUCUUGAGAAACGACUAAAUUACCCUUGCUCCCAAUUACACUUGUCCUCCUCUAGUUGUCGCGCAUGCUUCACACGGUAGUUAUGUCUUGUACAAGAUCCAACCUGUAUUUUACAUUCACGAAAAUAUUCAUUGUGUACCGUCACAUUGGGUGGAUAUAGACAAUGAAGGAUUUGGACUAGGCCUUUUGUGAGGUUGUCAGUUCGAUUCCCGAGCCCAACCGGGUUUUCGUCCCACUGUGUUAAGCCAUAGAAUUCUGCUCAUGUGGUGGCACGACUGUCAAGUGGCAGCUGGCGGUAUGACAUCCCGGGGAACGAACAAAAAAGCCAAACUUUGAAGCCAACGUGGGCCCGAUUAAGACAACAUAGUAUGGCCAAAGUAAAAACCUGAUGUAGAAUCUUUUUGUGAUCAACAAUAAGUCUCUUGAUGAACAAGCAACUGCCAAAAACUUGUGCAAUUCCCUCAUGGAACAUUCCACUUGUUUUUACAAACAACCAAAUUCAUCAAGGAAAACAUUAACUAUAAGUUCAAAAGAAAAAAAACAAACAAGCAAACUCAUGAACACGGUAUAGAGAAAUAUAUCAUGUGGAUUGGGUCUUUUUCUUCUUCUUUGAUGCCAAGUCACUUGGUUCGAUUUCUAUCGACAUUCUCUUUGUCCUACAGAAAAAAGUUCACAUUUUGUGUCAGAAAAUAUUGUAAGAAUCAGAAGUUAUGAGAAAACAAGCACAAAGAAGAAAACAUAUACCUCUUAGAAAGUUCCUGUGUCUCAUUACUCUCUUCUUCGCCAUCACCAACAUCUAACGAUAAGCACAAUGACCACAGUUAAGUAUAUUCAAAUUGCUUGCAACCAAAUACCGUAUAGAACACAUACUAAUGGUCAAAAUUAAAGUUGUUAGGGGGUCAAAUUGGGUUAUGGUUUAUCCCUAC
rnacentral:lncRNA from 1 species